rnacentral:lncRNA from 1 species
AGUAGAAACAGGAAAACAAAUGGUAAAAGAACUAAGAAUUAAAUGAAUUAACUCAUAAAAAAAAUAUACAUAUGUACAAACAUAUAUAAUAUAUGUUAAAAUGUAGUUUUCUAGAAAAGUGUGCUACUUGUGAUUCAAUUAGUUAGAUAUAUAUAAUAUUUGAUUUGCUUUUUUGUUUUGUAUUCGAAACGUCUAUUUAUAUAAAUAUUUAUUUUUGUUUUCACACAGAUGCAGAAAAGUAUUACAAGUUAAAGGAAAGAGAUGAGGUAAGAAUGAUUUAACAUAGUUUAUAUUUUUAUGUAUAUGUGCACACGCCGAAUUGCUUUUAAUAUUAUAGCAUGUAUACGUAUAACAUUUAAAGUAUUUAAGCGGGUUGAAUGUGCUAAAAUGGUGUAAAAAAAAUAGAUUAAUAUAUAUACAUAUAAUAUGUAACAUAAAAAAAUUUUUUUAAACAUUGAUAGCAAUAUAUAUACAUGUUAAGAUAUUUAUACAUGAACAAAACAUUUUAUGCCUUUAAUGUUUUUUUUAUUUUUUUUUAUAUUUUAUUUGUUGAAACUGUUUUUCCUUAUUAUUUUGGUGUUUCUUCUUCAUGUUACAAUGGAUUUAUUUUAUUUUAUUUUAUUUUUUUUUUUUGAUAAUUACUAUAACUGAUAAAAAAUUAUUUUUUUUAUUUUUUGAAGGAUUCACAGAGAACAUAUAAUGAUAUGCGAAAUCAACCUAAUGGUAAAAGCAAAUAAAAAAAAAAAAAAAAAAAAAAAAUGCAUAUGUAUAUAUAAACAUAGAUCAAAAGACCCCCCCUUCCCCACGUGAUCAACAACAUGUCCAAACAUUGGUUUUUUUUUUUUUUUUUUUUUUAGGAAACAAUCAAAUAGUACCAAAAUAUUCAUACCAACAAGCUCCAGAAGACAAGAAUUUUAUAAGUAACAUAUUUUCAACUCGCAAACCGAAACAUGCAGGUGCAGGUUUAGUUUCAGGAAUAAAAUCAAUAACAAAAGGUAUAAUUGUUGGUACUAGCUUUUUAAUAAUUUCUCCUUAUUUAUGUGCAAAAGCAGAAGGUAUAAACGGUUUUUUCAAGGGUAUAUUUUUUGGAUUAUUAAGUGCUAUAAUAAUUCCUAUAAUUUCUUUAGGAGUGGCUAGCUAUCAAAUUGGUCGAGGUAUUAUAAACACACCUGAAUCAAUAGCUCAAAAAGCACAAGGAAAAAUUUGGGAUGAUGAAAAAAGAGAAUGGUAUGAUUUUUAUUACAAUUUAGAUGAAGAAGCGAAUAAAGUGUUAAACGAUAUUGAUGAUAAUACCGUUAAUAAUGGUAACAAUAGCAAUGACAUUAAUAAUAAUAAUAAUAAUAAUAAUGAUUAUAAAUAUUGUAAAAAAAAUGAUGUAAACGAUGAUGAAUAUUAUAAUAAAGAUGGUAAGAUAAAAGUAAAAAAUGAUGAAUUUUAUAGAAUAUUAAAUGUACCAACUAAUGCUAGCCAAAGUGAAAUAAAAAGGCAAUACUAUAAAUUAGCUAAAGAAUAUCACCCCGAUAAAUGUCAAGAUUUAUCAGCAAAAGAACAAUUUCAAAAAAUAGGUGAAGCAUAUCAAGUGUUAGGAGACAUAGAUAGAAGAAUAAAAUAUGACAAAGAAGGUAAAAACGCAUUAGAUAAUAUGCAGUUUAUUGACUCAACUUUUUUUUUUACAUUAUUAUUUGGUAGUGAAAAAUUAAACCCAUAUAUUGGUAAACUACGAAUGGUUAUGUAUGUUGAAUAUGAACAAAUGUACAAAGAAGAAUAUGUACAAAAAAUAAUUUUAAAAGAACAAAACAAAAGAGAAGUACAACUAGCUUUACAUUUAAGAGAAAUUAUGACUAAUUAUAUGACAGAAGACAAAGAAGAGUUUAUAGAAAAUUUUAAAAAAGAAAUAAAUGAUUUAUGUCAAACAUCAUUUGGACAUGUAAUAUUAGACAGUGUUGCUUGGUCAUAUGAAAAUUGUGCUCAACAGUUUUUAGGGGAUAAAUACAGUUUAUUUGGUAUUAGUGGUAAAUAUUAUAAAAUACAACAAAAAAAAAGGGUUAUAGGUACUGGCUUUAAAUUUGUUAAAACCUUAAUUAGAACGACUUCAUUAGCUAACCAGAUAAAAAAAAAAGAAGCCGAAGAAAAUAUUUCGCUAGAAAAAACAGCAAAAGUAAAUAAAAAAAUAGAAGACUCAUUACCAACUAUUGUAGAGACGAUGUUAAAUAUUUGUCUAAUCGAUAUAGAUCAAACAAUAAAAGGAGUUUGUAAAAAAGUUUUUACGGACAUGUCUGUUGAUGAAGAUACAAGAAAAAAGAGAGCUGAGUCUCUCAUUGUGAUAUCUAAAACUAUGAAAAAAGUUAUUCAAGGUUUUAAAAAAAAUAACGAACUAACGGAUACUAAGAAAUUGUUUGAGGAUGCUUGUAUCAAGGCUUGUCAAAGACUAGAUUAUGACAAUAACUAGAAAUUUGCUCAAACGUUGUUUCAGUUUUCUUUUUGUAAUUUGAAGAAGAGAGGUUGUUUUAAUUUCUCCCAUUCCUUCCUUCUUUUCACCCUUCCAAUUUUUUUUUUUUUUUUUUUUUUUUAGUACCCAAGCAAUGUUAUAUUUAUUAUAAAAAGUUAAUUCAUUAAAAAUUGUAAAAAUAAAAACAUAUUUUUUAAUAUUUAUCA